ensembl:snoRNA
AUCCAAGCUGCCAGCUAGGGGCCAGGCUGUCAGGAAAGUAUCAAUUUGGAAGAAAAUCUGGCAUGCCUAGUUUUUGGGGAAGAGGGGAAUGUAUAUUUCCUUUCCUUUCCUUAAGCUGCCUAUAUGU